rnacentral:rRNA from 1 species
UUUUAGGGUUUUGGGAUUAUGGCUCAGGAUGAACGCUGGCGGCGUGCCUAAUACAUGCAAGUCGAACGCACAGCGAAAGGUGCUUGCACCUUUCAAGUGAGUGGCGAACGGGUGAGUAACACGUGGACAACCUGCCUCAAGGCUGGGGAUAACAUUUGGAAACAGAUGCUAAUACCGAAUAAAACUUAGUGUCGCAUGACACAAAGUUAAAAGGCGCUUCGGCGUCACCUAGAGAUGGAUCCGCGGUGCAUUAGUUAGUUGGUGGGGUAAAGGCCUACCAAGACAAUGAUGCAUAGCCGAGUUGAGAGACUGAUCGGCCACAUUGGGACUGAGACACGGCCCAAACUCCUACGGGAGGCUGCAGUAGGGAAUCUUCCACAAUGGGCGAAAGCCUGAUGGAGCAACGCCGCGUGUGUGAUGAAGGCUUUCGGGUCGUAAAGCACUGUUGUAUGGGAAGAACAGCUAGAAUAGGAAAUGAUUUUAGUUUGACGGUACCAUACCAGAAAGGGACGGCUAAAUACGUGCCAGCAGCCGCGGUAAUACGUAUGUCCCGAGCGUUAUCCGGGAUUUAUUGGGCGUAAAGCGAGCGCAGACGGUUUAUUAAGUCUGAUGUGAAAGCCCGGAGCUCAACUCCGGAAUGGCAUUGGAAACUGGUUAACUUGAGUGCAGUAGAGGUAAGUGGAACUCCAUGUGUAGCGGUGGAAUGCGUAGAUAUAUGGAAGAACACCAGUGGCGAAGGCGGCUUACUGGACUGCAACUGACGUUGAGGCUCGAAAGUGUGGGUAGCAAACAGGAUUAGAUACCCUGGUAGUCCACACCGUAAACGAUGAACACUAGGUGUUAGGAGGUUUCCGCCUCUUAGUGCCGAAGCUAACGCAUUAAGUGUUCCGCCUGGGGAGUACGACCGCAAGGUUGAAACUCAAAGGAAUUGACGGGGACCCGCACAAGCGGUGGAGCAUGUGGUUUAAUUCGAAGCAACGCGAAGAACCUUACCAGGUCUUGACAUCCUUUGAAGCUUUUAGAGAUAGAAGUGUUCUCUUCGGAGACAAA